GAAGAAGGCGGGGGGCGUGCUUAACACAUGCAAGUCGAACGGUGAAGGGACUGGUUUUGCUGGUCCUGGAUGAGUGGCGAACGGGUGAGUAACACGUGAGUAACCUGCCCCCUUCUUCUGGAUAACCGCAUGAAAGUGUGGCUAAUACGGGAUAUUCUGGGUCUGUCGCAUGGUGGGCCUGGGAAAGAUUGCGCCUUUUUUGGUGUUUUUGGUGGGGGAUGGGCUCGCGGCCUAUCAGCUUGUUGGUGGGGUGAUGGCCUACCAAGGCGGUGACGGGUAGCCGGCCUGAGAGGGUGGACGGUCACACUGGGACUGAGACACGGCCCAGACUCCUACGGGAGGCAGCAGUGGGGAAUAUUGCACAAUGGGCGCAAGCCUGAUGCAGCGACGCCGCGUGAGGGAUGGAGGCCUUCGGGUUGUGAACCUCUUUCGCCAGUGAAGCAGGCCUGCCUCUUUUUGUGGGUGGGUUGACGGUAGCUGGAUAAGAAGCGCCGGCUAACUACGUG
rnacentral:rRNA from 1 species